rnacentral:rRNA from 1 species
CAGUAGCCGCGGUAAUACGAAGGUCCCGAGCGUUGUUCGGAAUCACUGGGCGUAAAGGGGGCGUAGGCGGCGUGGUAAGUCAGAUGUGAAAUCCCGGGGCUCAACCCCGGAACUGCAUCCGAUACUGCCAUGCUAGAGGAUUGGAGAGGUAGCUGGAAUUCUUGGUGUAGCAGUGAAAUGCGUGGAGAUCAAGAGGAACACUCGUGGCGAAAGCGAGCUACUGGACAAUAACUGACGCUGAGGCUCGAAGGCCAGGGUAGCGAAAGGGAUUAGAGACCCCUGUAGUCCCUGUCUCUUAUAC